rnacentral:tRNA from 1 species
GGCGGAUUACCCGAGUGGCCAAAGGGACCUGACUGUAAAUCAGGUAGCUUCAAUGUUUACACUGGUUCGAAUCCAGUAUCCGCCA